rfam:Aedes aegypti strain Liverpool supercont1.1759 genomic scaffold, whole genome shotgun sequence.
UGCCCAGCAUCUCCUAUUCCUACCUCCCCGUGGUACUGGCCGUGGUACGCGUAAGCUAGGGGAAGAUCGGUGGGAACUUUGGUCGUAUGCUGACAGGGAAGA